rnacentral:rRNA from 1 species
AAUCACACACACCUGUGCACCUAUGGAGAGCGUCUCCCAUUUUGGAGCCGUCCGACGUAACCCCUUCUCUCUCUGAAGGGGUGGGCCGGAUCGAGGCGCUUUCCCUCCUUUUACAUCUCAGCCUGUUCAAACGCAUGUCUUUUUGAGCCCCACGGGGUGGAAAAUUGUAAUACAACUUUCAACAACGGAUCUCUUGGCUUUCGCAUCGAUGAAGAACGCCGCGAAAGUGCGAAACGUAAUGUGAAUUGCAGAAUUCAGUGAAUCAUCGAAUCUUUGAACGCAUCUUGCGCUCCUUGGUAUUCCGAGGAGCAUGCCUGUUUGAGUGUCGUGAAACACCCUCAGCCCUGUCUCCUUUGCUGGAGGGAGGGUUGGAUUUUGGACGCUUGCGGCGGUUUCUCCCCGUCGCUCGUCUCUAAAUGUAUCAGCUGGGAAACCCCUUUGAGAGUUGGUUUGACGACGGUGUGAUAAUAUACGCUUCGUUGACUGUGGCGCCGUCCUAGGCCAACUCUGAACCAGGGGGCAGCUCAUAGCCGUCUUCGGACAAAUGAUUCACUUCCAUGUCAUCUGACCUCAAAUCAGGUAGGACUACCCGCCGAACUUAAGCAUAUCAAUAAGCGGAGGAAAAGAAACUAACAAGGAUUCCCCUAGUAACGGCGAGUGAAGCGGGAAGAGCUCAAA